rnacentral:tRNA from 1 species
AGUUGGGUGGCUGAUUAAAGCAUUAAAUUGUAAAUUUAAAUAUAGAGAUAACCUCUCCUUACUA